CCUCUUGUCACUAAUAAGAGGUCUAGCCUGCCCGGUGAUAAAUUUAACGGCCGCGGUACCCUAACCGUGCGAAGGUAGCAUAAUCACUUGUUCUUUAAAUAGGGACUAGUAUCAACGGCAUCACGAGAGCUGCACUGUCUCCCCCCUCCAAUCAGUGAAACUGAUCUCCCCGUGCAAAAGCGGGGAUAACAUUAUAAGACGAGAAGACCCCAUGGAGCUUUAAACCCUAUAGCAAUUUAGCAAAAUAUUUUCCCACAAGCUACAUAACCCUGCUAGCGGCUUUAGGUUGGGGUGACCGCGGAGUAAAAAUUAACCUCCGCAUCGAAAAGAUUAAAAUCUUAACCCAAGAAUUACUAUUCUAAGUAUUAGAAAACUAACGAACCAUGACCCAAUAUUGAUCAAUGAACCAAGUUACCCUGGGGAUAACAGCGCAAUCUACUUCAAGAGUCCUUAUCGACAGGUAGGCUUACGACCUCGAUGUUGGAUCAGGGUAUCCUAGUGGUGCAGCAGCUACUAAGGGUUCGUUUGUUCAACGAUUAAAACCC
rnacentral:rRNA from 1 species